rnacentral:rRNA from 1 species
GUGAGGAAUAUUGCGCAAUGGGGGAAACCCUGACGCAGUGACGCCGCGUGAGUGAUGAAGGCUUUCGAGUCGUAAAGCUCUGUUAGGUGGAAAGAAACAUUCCGGCGCUAAUAUCGCCGGGACUUGACGGUACCACCAGAGGAAGCACCGGCUAACUCCGUGCCAGCAGCCGCGGUAAUACGGAGGGUGCAAGCGUUGUUCGGAUUUACUGGGCGUAAAGGGCGUGUAGGCGGUUAACUAAGUCAGAUGUGAAAUCCCUUAGCUUAACUAAGGAAGUGCAUUUGAAACUGGCUAACUGGAGUACAGGAGAGGAAAGUGGAAUUCCCAGUGUAGAGGUGAAAUUCAUAGAUAUUGGGAGGAACACCGGUAGCGAAGGCGGCUUUCUGGCCUGAUACUGACGCUGAGACGCGAAAGCGUGGGUAGCAAACAGGAUUAGAAACCCCGGUAGUCC